rnacentral:tRNA from 2 species
UGCGGGGUGGAGCAGUUGGUAGCUCGUUGGGCUCAUAACCCAAAGGUCGCUAGUUCGAGUCUAGCCCCCGCUACUA